AAUUCGAUGAUACGCGAAGAACCUUACCAGGUCUUGACAUCCCCCGCGAUGCUUUAGAGAUAAAGCGGAGGUAUUCGGGGAGACAGGUGGUGCAUGGUUGUCGUCAGCUCGUGUCGUGAGAUGUUGGGUUAAGUCCCGCAACGAGCGCAACCCCUAUUGCUAGUUACCAUCAUUAAGUUGGGGACUCUAGCGAGACUGCCAGUGAUAAACUGGAGGAAGGUGGGGGAUGACGUCAAAUCAUCAUGCCCCUUAUGACCUGGGCUACAAACGUGAUACAAUGGCUGGAACAAAGGGAUGCGAAGCAGUGAUGUGGAGCGAAACCCAUAAAAACAGUCUCAGUUCGGAUUGAAGUCUGCAACUCGACUUCAUGAAGUCGGAAUCGCUAGUAAUCGCGGAUCAGAACGCCGCGGUGAAUACGUUCUCGGGGUUU
rnacentral:rRNA from 1 species